rnacentral:misc_RNA from 1 species
GAUGAAGAACGUAGCGAAAUGCGAUAAGUAGUGUGAAUUGCAGAAUUCAGUGAAUCAUCGAAUCUUUGAACGCACAUUGCGCCCCUUGGUAUCCCGAGGGGCAUGCCUGUUCGAGCAUCAUUUCACCACUCAAGCCUGGCUUGGUGUUGGGCGACGUCCUCUUUGGGGACGCGCCUCGAAACGCUCGGCGGCGUGGCACCGGCUUUAAGCGUAGCAGAAUCUUUCGCUUUGGAAGUCGGGGCCCCGCCUGCCGGAAUACCUACUUGUAAGGUUGACCUCGGAUCAGGCAGGGAUACCCGCUGAACUUAAGCAUAUCAAUAAGCGGAGGA